rnacentral:rRNA from 1 species
GAUGAACGCUGGCGGCGUGCCUAAUACAUGCAAGUCGAACGAUUCUUCCCUCACGUGUGUCUGCUCCCAAUUGGAACGAGCGGUGGCGGAAGGGUGAGUUACACGUCGGUUACCUAUUCAUUAGAGUGGGAUAACACUUGGUAAUAGGGGCUAAUACCGCAUACCAGUUUAUGCAGCAUGGCAUAAGAGUGUUCGGCGCUCUCGGGUGUGGUUGCGGGAUGGAUCCGCGGUGCAUUAGCUAGUUGGUGAGGUAACGGCUCACCAAGGCCACGAUGCGUAGCCGACCUGAGAGGGUGAUCGGCCACACUGGAACUGAGACACGGCCCAGACUCCUACGGGAGGCAGCAGUAGGGAAUCUUCGGCAAUGGACGAAAGUCUGACCGAGCAACGCCGCGUGAGUGAAGAAGGUCUUCGGAUCGUAAAACUCUGUUGUUAGGGAAGAACAAGGACGUAAGUAACUAAACGUGUCCUGACGGUAUCUAAUCAGAAAGCCACGGCUAACUACGUG